rnacentral:rRNA from 1 species
CGAAGGGGGCUAGCGUUGCUCGGAAUUACUGGGCGUAAAGGGAGCGUAGGCGGGUUAUCAAGUUGGAGGUGAAAGCCCAGGGCUCAACCUUGGAAUUGCCUUCAAAACUGAUAACCUAGAGGAUGAUAGAGGUAAGUGGAACUCCGAGUGUAGAGGUGAAAUUCGUAGAUACUCGGAAGAACACCAGUGGCGAAGGCGACUUACUGGAUCAUUACUGACGCUGAGGCUCGAAAGCGUGGGGAGCAAACAGGAUUAGAUACUCUGGUAGUCCACGCCGUAAACGAUGAUUGCUAGUUGUCAGCCCGCAUGCCGGUUGGUGACGCAGCUAACGCAUUAAGCAAUCCGCCUGGGGAGUACGGUCGCAAGAUUA